rnacentral:misc_RNA from 1 species
CGCACAUUGCGCCCUUUGGUAUUCCGAAGGGCAUGCCUGUUCGAGCGUCAUUGCAAACUCUCAAGCACCGCUUGGUCUUGGGCGUAGGUCCUUGUGGACCCGCCCGCAACCUGUCGGCGGCACCCUCUGGCUCUAAGCGUAGCAAGAACUUUCACUCGCUUAGGUGCUCGCAGCGGCGCCUGCCGGGAAAGCAUAGCAACCGUAGUUUGACCUCGGAUCAGGUAGGGAUACCCGCUGAACUUAA